GGGGAAUAUUGCGCAAUGGGCGAAAGCCUGACGCAGCGACGCCGCGUGAGGGAUGAAGGGCUUCGGUUCGUAAACCUCUGUCAGAAGGGAAGAAGUGGACUCGUGCUAAUCAGCGGGUCUUUGACGGUACCUUCAAAGGAAGCACCGGCUAACUCCGUGCCAGCAGCCGCGGUAAUACGGAGGGUGCAAGCGUUAAUCGGAAUCACUGGGCGUAAAGCGCAUGUAGGCCGCUUUAUAAGUCAGAGGUGAAAUCCCACGGCUUACCCGUGGAAUUGCCUUUGAUACUGUAGAGCUUGAGUCUGUGAGAGGAUAGCAGAAUUCCAGGUGUAGGGGUGAAAUCCGUAGAGAUCUGGAGGAAUAUCAGUGGCGAAGGCGGCUAUCUGGUGCAGUACUGACGCUGAGAUGCGAAAGCGUGGGGAUCAAAC
rnacentral:rRNA from 1 species